CAAGAGAGGACAGCACCGCGGAGGUGGGGAGACGGGAUCGCCGGUAAGCAGCGCGCAAGCUGCUUAACACCGCAGCGCCCCGGCUGCUGCCUGCACCCUCCCCACCCCGCGGGCAGGGCGGCGGCCCGCGGAGAGCCGGCUGAGGAUGGAGCCCAGCGCCAGGCCGCGGGUACUUCUGAGACGGAGUGCCCACGGCAUGGCUGGGGACGAGCUCAGGUCCCGCUCCACCUGCGUCUUGGGCCAUGCCCCUCCACUACCCCUCCAAUGCCCGACGCAUCCGCCUGUGGCCAGCCACACCGCAGCUGAAUUUCCACCCACACACCUCCCUCCUCCUGCCUUCUCGUCGCUGCCAAACUCGGUGCCAAUCUGGGCUGUACCACACCUGUCCUGUCUCCUCAGAGGCCUCUUCCAGCUGUCUGUGACAGCCGAUGGGGAAAGAAAGGCUCCGGUACAAAGGACUGCACACGUGGAAGCAAAACCAGAUUUCCCUUCAGCUUCUGACAGCUCUUCCAGAGCAAGAGACUAAAGGCUGAUUCCCGUCUGUGACACAAGGCUGAGGCUCAGUCACUCCAGCAGGCUCUCGGACCUGAGGAAGCAGGGAACACAGCCUCACCCACCUAAGGUUGCUAACAGGGCAAUUUUCUGCCCCGCAGUGACUAAGGUGGAGUUUUCUUGGCCAUAAUGGAUUAUUAGAAAGGGCUGUUAAAAACCAUAUCAUGCUAAUAAUGGUCCUUAAUAUAUUCUGCAACUAAAACAUGAGGAAAAAGUAGAAAUGGCAACAAAGCUUAAUGAUUCCUUCCCAGGACAAGGCAUAACCAUUUUGUAAUAGCAGAGGGAAGAAAGACCCAGGACUAGGCAAAGUCUGGUAUUAUAUCAUACCCUGGCAAUUGGUUUACUCCCUAGAACACACUAGACAAUGAGACUGUGUUUGCUGAGCUCUCGCUGGCAGGAGCACAGGGUUUCCUCUCAAAUGCACUGUCAUUAUCACCCUGAUUUUAA